AAUGCAGAGCUCACAGAAAGAGGUAAAUUUAUUUAACUCCUUUUGCUGGAAAUUAUGAUUAAUUUUGUUCUUAUGUAGAAUGUCUUUAAUUUGCAUCUGAAUUUCUUGUUCCACACACAUGCAACUGCUCUGACAUGGAUGAGUGCUAGCACACAAAAGCUGUGUUUGGUAGGUGAUUGAGGACGCAUUUGCACAAAAAACGUUGGAUGAGGCACUGCAAUUGUGGUGAUCAACAAGCAAGUUACUGCUCCAUGUAACCAUCCCAUACAAGAUCGUUAUACAAUCGUGGUGAUCAGCAAGCAAGCUACUGCUUCUUUCCGCUCUUGCUAAUUUUGAAUUUUCUUACACCAUAUUAUUUGAUUGUCGGUUCUGCUGCAUUUCAGAUGGCACUCUGUCAACGGCUCCAAACUAAUUCAGAAAAGCAUCUAUGAUCUCUCAAAGUGGUGUGUCUGUCCAGCCGUUACCAAUGGUUGCCGUAGCUGGCUUGUGGUGCUCUACCUCACGUUUGUCAGUGCCCAUGUGAAGAUUCAAGAUGCAAAUGGUUGUGUAUAGUUAGGAUAAUAUCCUGUCAAUGGACCCAGUUUUCCUAUUUCUUAGCAAUAUAUAUACGUAUUUGUUACAAGGGAUGUGUUAUCAAAAUUUUAGCAUCUUGUUUCCAGUUUUGUUUGUA